AUGAGGACCACGGGCGCCGAGCGCGGCCGCACCCCCUUCCCCUCCUUAGUUGCCUCGUCAUAUCCACGAAGCCUUCCUAGAGAUUCUGAGAUUGAUCUCACCACUUCCGCAGGGAGUGCUCAUGGUGACUGGGGCUCGGAGUUGGGUGGAGCGGGCGAUCAGGAUCCGCGACGCCACCGCGUCGUGGAUCUGGCGAGUUCAGGAGUGGAAGGCAGCGGAUCGGGCGGUGGCGGCGGUGACAGACCCGAGCACGAGAUCUAUGGCGCUGCAAAAGGCAGGGAACUGUCAGAGGAGGGCGGAUCUGGAGCAGAGGACCCUGGCGAAAUUGAUCCACGGCGAGGCCACGAUGGAGGAGAGGGCAAGGAUGCCCGCCUUCCCCCAAUCCCCGCCGGCUGCGUUUGUGAUGUGGGCGCGGGCUAA
rnacentral:rRNA from 1 species